GGGGUCAUAGCUCAAAUGGCUAGAGUGCCUGCCUUGCAAGCAGGAGAUUAUGGGUAACCUUCGGGAAGCCGCUACCGCGUCUACAAUUCCCAUUGAUUCCA
rnacentral:tRNA from 2 species